rnacentral:lncRNA from 1 species
CUCAAUUGCCUAUGCAUAAGUUGUGAGCAGCUCUGGGAGAAGAACAAAGCAUAUGCAGAAGAUUUCAAAACUCGUUUAUUGUGAAAUAGAGAGUGUGAGAUACACUGGAUGCAGAGAAGGUCAAAACUGAAUUGGAAGAUUUUAUCCAGUUCUGGCUUCUACAAGUGAGGGGGAGUAAAGACAACCCGUGGAAGGUGUGGCCUCUUUGAGAGUUCCCUUUGAUCAUCGUUGAACAAGAAAAUAUUUGGGUCUGGUUUACCAAAGGACCUACAAGAUUUUCUGGCACCACCAUUCCCUGGAGGGGUCAGCCAGCUACAUGUUGGCAGGAUGAUGGCACUGGACUAUUUCCAUCGUGGAAGGGGCAGCAUUUUGUCCUCACUGGAACAGACACUUGGUUAGAAUAUGAAUAUGCUUUCACUGUACAUAUUUGUUCUGCUAAAACCACCAACUGUAUAUGCCUUAUUCACUGUUAUGAUAUUCCACGUAGCAUUACUUCUGACCAAGGAACUCAUCUCACAGCUAAUGAAGUGUGGAUAAGGAAGGGACUUUUGAAGAUUUUGUUAUGUUCCCAAGUGGGGGACAUCAUCUUAUAGGGCUGGUGUAGUGUCCUAUGGAUGUAGUACAUAUCCCAAAUCAGCAACCAAAGUAUAGUGCUGUUUCUCCCAUAACAUGAUCAAGGAAUGGGAAUGAGAUCAGCUGCUCUUAGUUUACCCUUUGUGAUCCACUAACAGUAUUUUUGCUUCUAGUCCUGGUGACUUUGGGCUCUGCUGCUUUAGGGCAUUUUACUUUUCCAGAAGAAUAAUGCUUCUGCCAGGAAACACAGUAACACUCCUGUUAAAUUGGAAGUCGAGACUGCUCCCUGAGAACUGUGAUGCCAGUAAAUCAGCAUGCAAAUAAGUGGCUACUGGAUUGGCUGAAGUGUUUGAUGCUGACUAUCAAGGGGGGAAACUGGGUUUCCAGCAUAGAGUGGGCACGGGAGUAGGUGCUUUCUGGAAUACCCUGGUCACCUUGGGUACUGCUUUUUAUUCCCUUAUCCUGUGGCAAAAGUUAAUAUAAAACCAUGGUAGCCCAAUAAAGACAGGACUUCUCAU